rnacentral:rRNA from 1 species
AGCAGCCGCGGUAAUUCCAACUCCAAUAGCGUAUAUUAAAGUUGUUGCAGUUAAAAGCUCGUAGUUGAAUUUCGGGAUCGAAUUGUUGGUCGUGCUUCGGUACGUACUGGCAUUAUUGGUUCCUACCUUCUGAAGAACCGCGAUGUCAUUAAUUUGGUGUCGUGGGGAAUCAGGACUGUUACUUUGAAAAAUUAGAGUGUUUAAAGCAGGCGCACGCUUGAAUACAUUAGCAUGGAAUAAUGAAAUAGGACGUUUGAUUCUAUUUUGUUGGUUUCUAGGAUCGACGUAAUGAUUAAUAGGGAUAGUUGGGGGCAUUAGUAUUCAAUUGUCAGAGGUGAAAUUCUUGGAUUUAUUGAAGACUAACUACUGCGAAAGCAUUUGCCAAGAAUGUUUUCAUUAAUCAAGAACGAAAGUUAGGGGAUCGAAGACGAUCAGAUACCGUCGUAGUCUUAACCAUAAACUAUGCCGACUAGGGAUCGGAUGAUGUUAAUUUUUAAUGACUCAUUCGGCGCCUUACGGG